rnacentral:lncRNA from 1 species
UGACAUGAAAACAACAACUUAAAGCAACAUCACCAUCAAACAUAGAAAUAUUUGAAAGCAGCAACCUUUAGAACCAAACCCAUAUGAUUCCUUUCACACUUUUUACCCAUUUCUUCUCAGAUAAAGUUUUGGUCCAAGAUAUUAUAUAAAUAUAAAUAUCAUACGGUUUCUUUUCCUCUUGUCCUCCUCAUUAAUUAAUGCAAGAUGAGUCUUGAGAGUGUAAUAGUAUAUCUUAGUGCUCAACAGCAACUAUUUCAGAUACCUCAAUGGACUCGGCUCUUUCUUCAUCCAUCCUUGAAGAUACAGUCUCAUCUGAGCCUUCUACAUUAUCAUUAGAUGAUGAUACAGUCACUUGUGCUUCCUCUUCUGUGAGAUGUGAAGUUUCUGCAUCUUUUUCAGGUUUCGUUUUUUCAGGUUUAAACUUUGCUGAUGUUGUCACGGCUUUUCCAUCAGGGAGAGUUGUUUCUGAGAUGGCAAUCUUGGAAGUGACUGGCGCAACAGUUGCUUCUUGUGAUCAACUGUUGGCACAAUUCCCUUGGAAGUUGAGUUAUCUUUAGAAGCUUUCUCAUCUAGGCUCAGUCUAGCGAGGCGAGGAGUUUGAGUUCCUUCAGAUUCAGUCUUUUUUUCGCCCGAUUUGGAGAUUUUGGUCUUGUUGGUGGUAUCUAUUUGGAAGUAAAUAACAAUGAGAACUAGUACUUCGUUACAAGGUGAGAUCAUGGUUGAGAAGAGAGCAUAAGUACCUUCUUUAACUCUGUUUUUGGAGGCAGAGGUUAUUGAUAAAAGCUAGGCAUCGGUGUGGCUUUGAAGUUCAAGCUCUUCCUUAGCUUCCUAAGCUCAUUUGUUGUGUUUCCUGCAAAAGUACCAAGAGUGUUGGGUAUAUAAAAAAGUAGAUGGAGAACACUAUGAAAAAGAAGAGGGUUUAAGAAGACAACCUUGGACUUGGCUUGCAUGUUAUUAAUCUCUUCUUCUUUUGCGUGACUCGUUUCCUCAAGCUUGCACCAUACGUAAACAGAGAUAUGAUUACUUUAAAACAUGUUUCUGAAGAGAGGACAAUCAAGUGGAUAGAAACACAAACCUCUCUUCUCUUCUCAGCACGUUGGUCGCAUUUGAAACUGAACCUAUAAUUUGGAAAUGCACCAACUUUGCAAGGUUUGCUAUCAUCUGCUUGCGGGUUACUAAGAAACCAUAAAGUUUUAUAAUUAACAUAAAUGCUAUAAAAGAGAGCCAACAUGUAGAAAGGCCACAGGAAAGAAGAGGUGGUAAAAAUAUAAAGGUGAAACAAAUACUUAGAAGACUGAGUAUCAUCUUCAGAUGUUUCAUGGACUUGUUUCUUUUGAGGCUUUGCUUUCACCUUGUCCCUGUAACAAAGAUAAAUGAUAUGACUUAGGACCAAUGCCUAUGAUAACAUCAAAGAUCGUAUCUACAGGAAAUACUCGUUUUCUUGAUGAAUCAGCUCAAGAAUUACAACAAUGGAGGAUUCUAUCACCUGAAUCCUCAACUACUGUAUCACCUGAGUAGAUACGAUUGCAAUAUCUCGAUAACCGUCUAAUAGACUCUUAGCUAGUAUUUAUAUCUUUUCUCAUGUACAAGCACAUGACUUAAUUUGUAUCUGUAAAACUUCAAGCUUCUUUAUUGCACUUCGAGCUUCCACUCUUCUUAAGUCUCCUCCUCUCAUACGUAUGCUUGUACCUAUCAAUACUCCGAGAGCAAGCUUGCCCUCAAGCUUGUAGUCUGGAAAAUGACUCACAAACUCAUCCAAACACAUCCAAGAAUUAUCAUGCUCCAACGAAAUCCUUCAACGCACUAACAAUUCCACACCACCAUCCUCUCGUACACGAGAAGCGAGCACUUCUUCUGGUUCCACCAUAAUGUUCUCCAAAUCCGUACACGUCGGAGGAAUUCUCUGAAGCACUUGGUCCUAACCCAAAGCAGCCUUCAAUUGGGAAAUAUGAAAGACAUGAUGGAUCUUAGACUCUGCGGGUAAACUAAGCGAUAAGCAACUUUACCCACACGCUCGGUAAUCUCAUAAGGACCAAAGUACUUAGCAGCCAGCUUCUGACAGUAGCGCUUAACCACUGUGUUUUGACGAAAUGGCUUCAACUUUAGAUAGACAAUAUCACCCACGGCAAACUGAACAUCUCUCCUAUGUUUGUCUGCCUGAGAUUUCAUCAAAGAUUGAGCUCUAGCCAAAUGAAGACGAAUCUGAGCCAAUAUUGCAUCACGCUCCUUCAGUGCAGACUCCAACUCAAAGUUUCGUGUGGAACCGUCUUCAAAACGCACCAGCUGUGGAGUAUCACGUCCAUAGACAACCUGAAACGGAGUUGCUUUCAGGGCCGUGUGGAAAGACGUGUUAUACCACAGCUCAGACCAAGGCAGAAACUUGCACCAAGUCUUAGGAUGGUCUGAUGCAAAGCAGCAUAGGUAGGUCUUCAUACAGCGGUUCAGUACCUCCAAUUGUCCAUCCGCCUGGGGGUGAAAAGCGGUACUAUACUUCAGCUUAGUCCCCAAGAGACGAAAUAACUCCUUCCAAAAAUUGCUCAAAAAUAUUCGAUCUCAAUCAGACACGAUAGUCUUAGGAAAACUGUGAAGACGCGUAUUUAAAUGGAUUCUUGCGAGUUUUGGUGCAGACACGUAUUUAAUUGCUCCUCUUAGGGGUUUUCUAAUAUUUAUUUUUUCUCCUGUUGUAAUUGAAUUAGGGCUCUCAAGAUAGGAAGACCUUCGAUGUUGGUACUAAUCUUUUCAUUGGAAACCUUGACCCCGUACGUAUAUAUGAUAUAUGGUGGUAACUAUAUUGUGAAAUAUUGGUAUUUCAUUACAACAGCUGAUUAGGUUUUGCUUUUACAGGAUGUGGAUGAAUAGAUCGUGUAUGAUACUUUCAGCACAUUUGGUGGCAUUGCUUCUAAUCCUAAGGUAAAAUCUUUAUUGUUGUUGAUAAUAUAUUAUCUGUAAUCUAUGAUUAAUAUGUCAUUGUGGUGGGGAAAAAGAAUGGCUGUACGCUUAAGAAUCUGAUGCUCUGAAAUAUUCAUUUCAGAUCAUUUGAAGUUUACAGACCGGGUGUUGGCUCCAAGUUGUCCCCAGAUCUCAGAAGCCGUUACCCUUGCCCAGUGGAUCUCCUAAAGUUACACGUGAGUUUUCUUUCUUUCAUUACAAACCUCGAGCUAACUAAUGAUGAUGUCUUAAGUUUAAUGUUUGUUGUUACAGUCACCACUUAGGCUCGGAGUUAGUAAACGAUUGUCUCUCUUGGAAGCAAGACUCUGUUAAAACUUAUAUGGAAUCACCAAGAUGCCAUCUUGUGUUGCUCUUUAAAGGUGAGUCAGAGUGUCCAUAGGGUAGUUAUAAACUUUUUAACCGUGCUUGGUUUAAUAUAGUCUAUGUUAUGUUUGCAGCCUCAACCAGUGUUUAUGUUCGCGAACCAAGCUGGUUUAGACAUGCUAGGGACAACGCUUGUACCUUACAAGACAUUGCACUGGAAAAGGUCUUUGAUUAAUCUGGUCGAAAGGCUCUCUGCUCAGACUUUGCCAAGCUAAUACAACAGGUAAAAAAGAAACAAAACAAACCCUUACGGUCCUAAGAUAAUGUCUUCGACUCAUUAGUCUUGUCUCUACAGGGAUUUGCGUGCUUGCCUUCAGGAAUCUGUUUGUCUACAAUGGGGGACAUGUCACUUAUGAACAAGUUGUUGCUUGGAAAGUGUUUGCUGUAUCCGAUAAUGACAAUAAUAAUAAUUUGCAUUGUCUUGCUUCCUCCUUUGUAAACUGGUCGUUUGUGUAGUCUCAUCUCUGAUGAAUGUAUUAGUAAAGGCUAAUCAAAUUUACAUUAUAGACAACACUCUUUUUGUUGUUGUUGUGGAAGUGUCUUGUCUCUUUUUUGAUCAAAUUUUCAUUGUGUUUUACAUAUAUAUAUUUAAGCCUUUAAUCAUAUACUUAAAGAGAAACAAAUAAUCAUCCGUUAAAACGAACUAUUUUCAGAACUUCAUGCACCUAGCUGGUAAACCUGUCUGAUGAUUAACAGCAACAAUCUCAGAGACAUUGUUGCAAAGAAGAACGUCUUGACCAAGCUUAGCACCUGCAGGUUUAAGACCUUUGAGAGAAACCGGAACGUUAAAGAGGUUGAGUGAUGGAAGCUUUGAAACAAGAGGAAGUUUCAGGUUCGGUAAGAAGUUUCUAAAAUCAGCCAUAAACAAAGGAACUUCGAAGUCGGUUUUGUUGUGUUUCACCGCGUUGUCUUUAGCUGCAAUGUGAGCUGGCUCCAUAUCGUUGGUUGAGAAGCUUUGUUGGUUAGGGAAGUUUGGGUAGAGACUAACGUACCUCUAAUGUACAUCAUGUCGACCAAGAACUUCUUCCAAAAAGCUUGCCAACCAUUGGUUUUGAGGUUUUCUAAACCUCAUAAUCAAUGAUGUAGGAAUUAAACCUAAAAUAAAAAUAGUUUUAUAAUUUUGACAAAUAGUUUUUUUUAAAUGAUAAUAAAAUUUGAUAAAUUCACUAAAAUACAUUUUAAUAUCUAAACUAUCUAUUUAAAUUAUUAUAAAAAUUCAGCGUGUAGCGCCGGGAAACCACUAGUAACUAAUAAAUGUCACUAGCACAAGCAUUCAAAUACAUGCGUUUUAAAAAAAAACGCACACACAAUAAAUUUACUUUUUAACAAUAAAAAUAAAAAACGAUGGUAAAAUAAUCUGCACAUAUUUUUUUUGACUUUCCAUUCGAGAAGAAAUAUAUACCAAGACACGUGUAUGAAUGUAUAUGCAUAUCAUAUUGUACAUAAUUAGUUUAUACUAGAAUUUAUAACUUUUUUAUAAAAAAUACUUUGGAUUCAAAAUUUCUUUUUGAAACUCAAAAAUUAUGUUUGAAACUAUUUUUAAUUUUUUUAAUAUAAUUUUUAAGUAUUUACUUAUAUAUUUAUUAGAAUCCUAAAUUUCAUAUUCCAAAAACUCUACUCCACCUCUCAACUCUAAACCCUAAGUUUAAAUUAGUUAACUCUAGGAGUAUAAAUUUUUUUGUACCAUUCAUUGAAAGUGAAGGUAAAAAUGGUUAGUGUAAACAUGAAAAAUGAUACUAUGAAUGUGGUAUUUGUGGCAAUUUACUUUCAUUUUUAGUCAAAUGUUAAUAUUAAUUUAUUUAUACAGUAAAAUAUUUUUUGCCAAUCAAAUAUUUUUAUUUAAAAUAUGUUUAUUAUGUUAAUUUAAUAUUUAUAUUAUUUAACUAUAUUGUAUGUUGUAUAUUAUUAUUAUUUAAUUAAUUAAUUUAUUACUGAAUACCGCAAAUAUAUAUUGUCAUCAAUCAAACAAUAUUAUACCGCAUUUUUACUUAAAACCGCAGUUGUACCGUACCACACUCUAAUUCCGCACGAACCGUAGUUGCACUGUCCCUCACUUAAAUUUUAUAUCGCUUUUAAUAUCAAACUAGAUCUCGAUUUGCGCAACCCCGCGGGUAUUUGUUUGCAGUUAUAUAUAUGUAGAUAUUUAUUUUAGAUCAUUAAUAGUAUACAUUUUUUAAAAAGUUAAUAAUAUAUUAAUGUUUAUAUAACUAUUUCAGAUACAAUAAUUUAAUAAUUUAUACUUUAUAUGUUGUAGUUAAUCAAUUGUUUAAAACCGUCUUAUGUAUUUGUUGGUUCUUAUUAUAUAUUUAUCUUAAUGCAUUUGCAUUUAGUUAUUAAAAAAAUUAUAUAUGCAUAAAAUAACAUAUUUGAAAAUUAUUUUUUAUUUAAUUUAUGCUAAAUUCUGACCCACUUUUCAAAGUUGGAUUUCCUUUUUGCAAUAUUUAUUUUCUUUUAUUCAUUUAGAUAAUAUAUUAUUUUAUAAAGAAAAAUAUUAAUUUCACACAUGUAGUAUAUAUAGUUUGCUAAUGUUAAGUCGUUUUGUCAUCGUAUUAUAUUUUUAAAAAGAAUAUUUUAUAUUUAUGAAAGCAAAUUUAUCAAUUUAAUAUAAAUUUAUCUUUUUUUCUCAACAUAAUAGUUUUAUUUUAAUAUGACUGAAUAUGAUUAUAAAAUAGGUAAAAAUAUAGAAUUUAUCAUUUUAUAAACGAUAAUUGAAUAUAUAUUAAUGCAUAAUAAUAGUCCAUUUUUAAUUACAAAAUUAGUGGAAAUAUUUAUAUAAACUUUUUGAAAAUUAAAAUAUUGUUAAAAUAUUUAUCAACCGAUUUGUUAGAAUAAACUUUAAAUAUAUAUAUAUAUAUAUUUAAAAUGAAAAGAUAUCAUGAUUUAAGUAGUCACAAAUAUUUUAUAUUAUUAGCUUUAAUGAAAUACAUGUUAAUAUUUAUACAUGUAUUAUAUAGUUUCCUUAACCAUCUUACCAACGUAUUAUAUUUUUGAACAUAGAUAUUUAUAAUUAUGAAAAAUAUUAUAUAAAUUUAUUAAUUUAAAAUAAUAUUACCAUAUUUAGUUCAAUAUAAUAAUUUUAUUUUAAUAUGAUUGAUUAUAAUUAUAUAAAAGAUAAUAAAUAGGAUAUAAUUUUUAUUUUUAUUUUAUAGAUGAUAACUAAAUAUAUUAAUGUAUAAUAAUAUUUCAAAAUUAAUUACGAAAUUAGCAAAAAUAUUUACAUUUAAUUUUUGAAAAUUAAGAUCCUUUAAAGACUUUAUCUUUUAAAUUUAGAAAUCUCAGUAAUAUGCAAGAUAUCUGUGAUCCGAUGAGUUGAGAAAAAUAUCAUAUACCUUGAAAAUUACGUGAAACUUGGGUCUCUGAAUUUUAACCAUGUUCUUGAAUUAAGGUUUAAUAUUCAGUGACACUGCAUAGGAUAGAUGGUGAUCCUUAAUAUACAAGACAGAUUUGAACUCUAGUCAUGUGAACAACACCUAAUGCCUUUGUGUUGAGUUUUUGUUUAAUUAUCUUCUUUGUUUUUAAAAGUCUUAAACAUUGUUACCAUUAUCCUGUUGGCUUUAAAGCUGGUCGAGCUAAUAAUGAAUACACAGGUUACAUGGAGAAUGAAGAAGGUGACAAAGGAACUUAACCAUAUGUGUGUUACUGAUUCGUUUGUGUACGUCAAAGUUUGUGGAAGGUGACAAAGGAACUUAACCAAUCAACGCAGUAAUAAUACCUUUGGUACAAAGCAUUUUCUUAACAGAUGUAAUACAAUUGUCCAUACAUGGGCUCUGAAAUAGAUAAUCUAAUCUAUUCUGUACAAUUUUUUUAAUAAUCUUUAGACAUGUUCUUUAGCUACGAGUUAUCAUUAACUCACACAUGAGUCAAACUAACUUUCUUGACUCUUUAUCAGGUAAUGGCUACUCUACCAUCAGAAGCAGAACUGACAUGGAUGAACAAAUGGUGAAUGAUCAAUACGUCAUGGUAACUUGUGCCGUUAAGCUGAGAAGAUAUGGGCGAGAAGAUAAGGGCUCUAUUCUGUAACCAUUGCGUCGGGACAGCAGCUAAAAGUAUCUCCUCCUUAGAGUAUUCUAAGUCGUAACCCUUACGCCAAAAUUGUUUGGAAAAUAAUCGUAUCUUUUGUAAUAUUUUGUGUGGUCAGUUUAAAUAUAUGAGAACUUCUUAUGGAAUAAAAAGUGAAUAUUCGGAAAGUGAAAUAUUUCUGUUGAAACAUAUUUUUAAUUUUGAUUAUACUUGCUUUGCAAAAAAAAAACAGCCGGUUUUGAAACAGAGCACACUACGAAUGAUUAGUAUGGUUUUAGAUAUAUGUAUGUAUAGUUUUAUAAUUUAUAUGUAUAAUGUUGGUCAAAACUUGUUAACCGGAAGUAUCCCACUACAAAUCUAUUAUAAACAUGUAAAUUUAUCAUAUAUAUAUUUAUAAUGUUGGUCCGAACCGGUUUAUGAUUAAUCUAGUUUUAGAUAGAUGAAUGAAUUUAUAAUGUAUGUAAAAUUCAUGGUCAGAAUUGUGAAAAUAUGAUAUUUUUUUUUAUCAAAUGUUUUGAACAAACCGGCUGAAUAUUUUUAUAAUGUUAGGUGCGAUGGUUCUAAUGAGAUUGACAUUGUAAUGUGUUAACGAUGACGAAAAUGUAUGCUGGUUAACCAAACCGGAUUUUUAGGCUUAUGUGACAUUAUAGUUACGAUUACAGGGAGUAUUUUAGUAAGUUAUAAUGAAGAUAUAGUUAGAGAAUAAAUGUAACAUGACUUUCUAAGAUAGGUCUAAUUCUUAAAAAAAUCACACAUGAAUUAAAGUUGUGACUUUUGUUUUAAUAUAUAAGAUCUGUUGUCACCAUUCGGAGCAUUACUUAGUAUAUAAGAGAUUAAGUUGAAAACAACUAGGAAUUAAUAAAUGAUUGAUGAGAAAUGAAUUCAAACUUUUGGGUCCCCUGUUUAAGAAAUUUCUAUACAUAUAUACCAUUUUCACUGAUUGUAUUUAGAGGAUGAGUUUUCACUCAGUUAAAUAUAAAAAUAAAUAUGAAAAAUAAGAGAAACUAAAAAAUGUCGGAGAGACAAAAACUUCAAAAUCAAUACUAUUAAAACUGAAGGGCAUUUUUUGAGGUGGCCUUGGAGUUUUAAAGUAUUUACAGAUUUCUGCCACUGAAAUAUGUUUAGUCUAUGCUUUUAAUUAAAUGCAUUAUUUUUUUCCAGAAAUAAAACUAUAAGAAAAUAAAAAUAUUGCGAAUCAGUUACGAUAAGGAUAAGGAAUAUUCCAAAAAAAAAUUCAAUUAACCAAAUCUUUUUGAAACUAUUCCUAUCGCAACCUACAAUCCCUUUUAAUAUAUAUAUGCUACCAUCUAUUAAGCUAUUGUGUACCAUCACAAAAAUCUUAAUAUUAUCAUAUGGCAUACAAAAAUCGGCUACGGAGGUGAAGUUUGAAUUGAAAUGAUGAUUAUCAUUUUGGUAAAAUUGGUUGAUCUGAGUGGGAUGUGGGUAUGAUGGGAAAAGCCAAAGGACACUGCUGUUGAAAGAAGAUUGACAUUAUUUGUGGUGCUUUUUGAAGUCAGAUUUGGUCUGCUAUCUCUUAUUUUUUCUUUUAGAAUUGCUCAAGAUUUGUGUGAUGUUAUUAUAGAGAAACAAGAUUUCACUUUUGUUUUCUGGAAACUCCAAAAUGUAACAUUUGAGUUUUUUUUUUCUCCUAAAGACCUGAGUUUUUUAAUGGACUUCGAUAUGAUAUCAUCAUUUUAGUUAUAUAAACCAUUCCUAUACUAUGGUUAAUUUUAGAUAAAUGAUCUGUCGUCUGACACCUUUAAACAAGUGUGAUAUAUUAAUCAUAUUGUUUUGUUUCCUUACUUUUUUAACAACUGUGUUUGUUUCAAAAAACAUCUGUUUUUAUGCUUAGAAAAGUAUUAUGUUUUAAAAAUAAGAAAAAAAAACUUAGAAAACAAAUUUUUAUUAUAUUUUUCUGGUUUCCAUAUCCAAACCAACAGAAAAUCUCAUAAUUUAAAGUAGUCGACUCUUUAUGCUCAAUAUUGUUUUUUCGAUUGUAGAACUGUAUUUUAAAUUCAGAAACUGGGAUAUUCUGAUUAUAUACGAAUAUAAAUUAUUAAUAUAGUAGUUUAUUUCUGAAUAUUUAGUAGCUCAAUAUUUUUAAACCUUAAAUCUCAAAUCAAAGUAUUCUAAAAUAUUCUACCUUUUAAUAAACUAGAAAUAGAUAGUGUUCUAUUUUAUAUGUAAAUAUUCUCAGGAUUGAUUACAAAUAUAUUUUAAACGUUAUGCGUUAAUAAAAAAUUAUUAUAUGUAUGUAUUGAUAAAUAUUAAAUAAUUGUUUAUGUAUCAAUAUUUUAUUUAGUGUUAUGUGAAUCUUUUAAAUCAUAACUACAAUAUAUUGGAAUUUGUUACCCUUUAUUUAAUGUUAUAUGGAUCAAUUAAAUCAUAACCAUAAUAUUAACAAUAUUAACGAUUAUGUAGUCAACAAUUGUUUUUUAAACAAUGAAGAUAUGAGUCUAAAUGAAGAUACUUAGGACUUUAACUAUUUGGACCAGAAUUGUGUGUUAGGAGCUCAAAUAAUAUUUUAUUAAAAGUAACUGAAACUCAAGCAUGAAGACUUUUUUCAGGUAUUUUUUUAUUUUGAAAAUAUUUACAUAUCAUUCUAUUUUAACUUCUUUUUUUUUUGAAAAAAUCUGUUUUAGCUAAUAACAGAUGUUUAUCUAUCAAUACUAUUAAAACAGAAGCAAUAUUUAUCUACUUGCAAGUAUUAUAUGUUGGACAAAUACAUUUAUUAAAUAUCAUUAUAUUUUGACUAAUACCUUUUAUUAAAUGAAAUAUACAGCCUAACCUAACAACUUAUACCAGUAUUUUAGGAGAUAUUUUACUUUAUUUAUGCUAUCUAAAUCUACCCUAUGUUGUCUUUGUGAUAUGUCUGAACUAUACUCCUCCGUUUUAUUUACUCGUGUAAUAUUGAUUCAUUAUUACUUAAUGUUAUACAAAUAUUGUAUUAUAUAUCACAUGUUUACUUUAUGUUAUAUAUUGUUGUUGCUGGACUUUUAUACAGUAACAUAAAUUUUUAACAAAACUAAUGAAACUGAGUCUAAAAACGUAGUUACAUACUCUAUGCUUUCUUAACAAACAAUGACAAUAUAAAACUAAAUAUAUCUUUCUUUCUUUCUUUUUUUGUAAAAGAACUAUAUAUAUCUUUGGGUCAUCAUAAAACCUACAUGUUUUUUUUUUGCGAUCUAAACUUGAAAUUCAUUUCAUAUCGAAAGAUCUAAACUUAUUGAAUAACAAGGUUUCUAUUAAUUUAAUUUAACAAUUAGGUUUAGUUGACAAAAAUUGAGAUUACAAACCAAAAAAAGAGGAUUUGUUUUGGAAUAAAAAUGAUUACAAAUUUUUUCCAUGUAGAAAAUCUAAACUUAUAAAACAAGAAGGAUUUUCAAAAUUUAAAAUUUAAUUUAGUCCGUUUAGUUGAUUUUUUUUGGAAAUAUAAGUUACAUAUCAUGAUUAUAGGAAGCUAAAAACUUUCAAAAUAAAAAGGUUUAAAAAAUAUAUUUGCAUGCUGUUAACAAAGAUUGUCAGAAUGCCAAAAGAUCAGAAAUAUAUUUAUGUAAUUAGAAAACUAUGGCUCUUAGAUUUUAUGCAUAACCUGAAAAUAUUGAGUUUAACAUGUGUAUCAAGAAUAAACUUAUCCCUACAUUUAAUCCUACCAAUAUAUAUAUACUUCACCAACAUAUAUAAAAUAAAAUAAAAUUUGCCAAAACAUUGUAUUGUUAAUAUUUGUAAAACUGAAGCAUCACAAUCAAAAUAUAUCCACCAACAUCUAGACAUUCAUAAAUAUAUAUAUAUAUAUAUAUAUAUAUAUAUUAAAAUGCUCUAAAUAUAAUAAUUUAAGUCAAAUCGGAUUAUAUAUCGGGUCAUUCAUUGGUUCAAUUGGUAGUCGAAUCCCGGGUUUUAGCAGGUUUAUAAGAUUUUUAACUAAUGAGUUUUUCUUGAAAAAUAAACUGGAUUAAAUAUCGAAUCACCAGGUUUUCCGAUUUAACCACGGGUCUAGAUCGAGUUUCAAAACACUGAAUAAAAUGUUUCAUUUGUAAUAUUUAAAUGUCGAUAAAUAAUUAUAAAUAUAAAUUUAUAACAAAAAAAAAUUCAUUUCAGAAAUAAUCCCGCGCUUUAAAAGCGCGGGUCAAAAUCUAGUACUUUUAUUAAAUUUGUCAAGCUAUUAUUGGUCUGUUUUUCAUAUUUAAAAUCUAGUUGUAGAUUGGACUAUAUUAUAAAAUACUUUUGUUGAAAAACUUCAACAAUGCUGAUGCUUUUGUUCGUUAGAUCCCAACUGACAAAUCUCAUCACCACUUUGAUAAGCUUCACAAGAUGGCGCCUUAGAUAAGAUAUGUAAGAAGAGAUGGUGCCGGAGGUUCAGCACAGGGCGCCGGAGGUUGAGAAUACGGGGUCGAAGUCGGAGCUUGAGGUUGAACCACACUUGAUAUCAACGUUGACAAAGUGAGUAACUACAUUAGCGUAUUGACAAUACGUGGAGAGAUGCUCUUUUGAAGAUGAAGAAACGAUGUUUAUAUUUUCCAUCACGAUGUUUUGACAAUUUACUAGCUUGUCACAAGCUAGUUUUAUCGCAAUAUCAUCUGCGCAUGUCCCUCUGAAAUUUCUAAAUGUCACAUCGCUCACUUUCACAGCAGUAGCCUGCAUGAUUCACAACAUGAAUACAUUUUUUUUCAAAAAUAUUAAAAACGUAAAAUCAUAUAUAAAUAAUAAAAUGAGUGCUGAAUUUCACAUUCCUAAAGUAUAAGCAAUUUAAAAAAUUUAGUUUCAUAAGUCAAUAUUUGUAAUAGCACAAGUAAUAGUGGUUAUACACAUACUAGUAGAUUAUAAAUUAAUAUCGGUAAAUUCAUAAUAACUAUAAAUUAAUAACUUCAUCUGAUUUUGAGUUGGGCUAGUUCAAAAUAUGACACAAAUCGAUAAAAUAAAAAAAUAAUAUUUUUUAAAAAAAGUUCUAUGUAAAUAUAUGGUCUCAUUAAAAUCAUAAAUUAAUAUAUAUAUAUAUAUACAUUUUAUAUGUGUACAAACAAACCAUUGUAUUGUUUUUAAUAUUCACAAUGAGAUUAUCUAUACUUUUUCUUGAUAAUUCAAUAUAUUUUGAUGAUAUUUCGUAAAAAUAUAUCUAUAACCACAAUUAAAUUAUAUAGAACAUAUUUCAUAUACACAAAAAAUAUAAAAAAUAAUAUGAAAGUCAAAUUUCAAAAAUUUGAUAAAUAUAUAAAAGGUAAAAUUAACUAUUUUCUUAUUUUAUAUAAAAAUAUACUCAAAAAUAAAAAAAAAAAUCUAAAAAAAGAAAUUUUUGUAAACUUAUAACUCUAUAAAUUAAUAAAAUAUCAUAGUCCCAACAUUAUUAAUUUAUAGAGUUUUUACUGUAUUUUUGAUAAAAAAAUAUGACUAUAAUUUAUAAAUAGAAAUUGAUGCCAAAAAAUUAUAAAUAGAAAUGUUACCCCUGAUUUACAGUUCUGACCCACCAUUACAAUAAUGCUGAUCGAUGAUGAUAGGAUAUGCGGCAUCUAUUAAUGUAAUGUUCUCGUAUAUAAUAUUUUUGGCGAACCCUUUGCCUCCCUACAAAAUUACGUAAGGUAGAUGCAGUUAGAUAAAUAUAAAAAUAUAAAAUUUUGCCUUCCUACAAAAUUAUGCAAGAUGCAAUUAGAUAAAUCUAAAAAUAUAAAAAUAUUCAUAUGUAAAUUUAAUUGUUUACAGAAGCUUACAGCCCAAGUUUUGAUUCUUGCCCCAUACAUAGUACCAUUGAAGCUGCAGUGUCUUACUUGCACGUUCUCAACCGUUUCAGUUAGCCCAUCUCUGCCCAAACUUCCAAUACUGCAGUUUUUUUAAGAGAUGUUAACAUCUAAUUUAUUUAUUUUCCAAAAUAAUUCAACCUUAAGAAAAAUCUUUGCAGUGAAAAUAAAAGAUGCCGCUGUAAGAUAUAAAAACUGCAUUCGCAAGUGUGUAAAAUUAAAAUAAUCAAAAUCUAAUAUAUGCUAAACACAUGAAAGAUGUAUAUGACAUUCCUAUUAAAAGCCAAACUAAAAUCUAAAUGUGUGCACCUGCCAUUGUGUUAGUAUCUUCCAUUUCAUAAAAUAUUUUCCCAAUAAAAUCAAUCAAAUUGCAUCAAACUGUAUAUGAUUCUCUUAUAUAGAUGGGCAGUCUAAUCUAUAGUAUAAACAUAUAAUAUAAAUCUAGUAACUAUAAAUCUAACUUUCUAUAGACCAUUAAUAACAUUUUUAACACUUGAACUGAGAACUCUCAGUUGCUUACUCACAUAAUAUUUAACGACAAUUUACAACCAGAGAAAUGCAAGAAAAACAUUUAUAAGACAUAGGUGUGAGAACCUGAUGCCAUGGCCCGGACCACAUGUCACAUGAGUUAUGUUGAUAUCGUGUGAACCACCAUUAAUCGCAACACAAUCGUCACCUAAAACCAUUCCAUAUAUAUAUAUAUAUAUAUAUAAUUUUUUUGUUUUUGAACACCAAAUGCUUUUAUUAAAAUUAAAGAUCCAAUGGAGUAAGUCGGUUACAACUGGAACCGGAGAGAUCAUCGACGGUAAACUAAUAAACAAAAAUAACUAAGAUACGACGAAGGAUAGAUGUGGUUAAAAAGAAAAGAAAUCCAUAGAGAAGUUUUACUUGUAAUCUUAAAGUCUUUCAGUUCCUUGCAAAAGAGUUCAUAUCUAUAAUUAAUAAUUAAGUUGCAUAAUUUUCUUGUAGCUGAACCGUGUAUAGUAGCGUAUAUUGACAAAUAUAUAUUAAAAAUUAAAUACCUGUUUGGAUAGAUGAAUUGAAAAUCUGGACAUUGUUUGAAAGAGCAAUGUCGAUACCAUCACUGUUUGGACUAUCUUUAGGUGCGAUGAGAUGAAGAUUUGAUAAAGUUGCGUUGGUGCAAUUAUAAACUGAAACAUGAUUCUUUGGGCUAUUGAAUUGAGUUAGUCCACUAUAUAUUAUGUCAGCACUUGCAUUAAAUCCAACUGCCUGCAUAAUGAAAAUAAACUAUACAUAAAAAGGUUGCCUAAUAGUCGAAACGUCAAAUAAUCUUGACUGAGUAAGCCCUAAGAAAAAAAACAUUUUUAUAGCAAAAAAAAAAAAUACAGACCCGUGGUCGAUUGGAGUGAUCAACAGACGACCACCAAGCUUCGCCAUGAGGGUGGAGGACACCAGACCCAUUGAGGACGAUACCUUUCACGUUUUUGAAACAUAGCCAGCACCUACCUUCUCCUAUGUCUCCCCACUCUUCAAUCGUUUUUGGCGCCUCAAGUUUCCCAUCAAUCUUGACAAAAUGUCAUAUACAUAAUCACAUUUUAUAAAUAUUGGAAGUAUAUAAUUAUAAACAUAUUUUUAUUUAAGUGUAGAUGCCUGGACCGAUGCCUAUAUAGCCCCUAGGAAAUUGAUAUCGACGAGUAGCUCAAUCUCAAAUUUUCUUUUUUUUUGUGCUACGAAAAUUAUAUUAAAGCAGAAAGGAUAUAGAGCCGAAAACGAAGCCCAAUAUCAAGCAGUUCAAACAAGUACAGAAGCAGAUGAAACUAAGGCUUGUUUACCUAACAGAUCAGUUUUACGGUUCUCAGAUCGUGGAACAAAACAGAAAGAGAUAGAUGCGAAUGCAGAGAAGAUCUGCAUGAUAUCGAAAACGAUACCGAAGAUUUCCUUAAUCUGGGGCCUGUUUUGGAUUGCUCUAAUGAGCGUUUGACAGUCGGAGCAGACCUUGAGGCUAAUGAUGUCGAGAUCUGCAGCUGCUAGAAGACCCGAUUCGAAGCGCGAGAGCUUCGGCCAUGAGAGGUGAACUGACGUUUUUCAGUGCGUAGCGAUCCUUCGUGGAGUUGAUUUGAUGUCAGUGUUGAGAUGAUCCACGCUAGGCCUGCUUUCCUAGUAGUUGAGUUCCAAGACGCGUCGGAGUUGCAUGUCGUAGUUUGCUUGCUACCAUGCAUCGUUCCGGUGAAACUGGGGCCCUUGAGGUAACACUUGUGCUUCUGUGGUAAAUUUUCUUGAGCUUGGAUCCAUUCACGAGCUGAGACUAAACUUCUAAGCAUGACUUCGUUAGGGUUGAGCUUCUUGUCUUCGAAAAUCAGUCUGUUUCUCGCCGUCCAAAGCGACCAGCAGAUCCAAGGAAGGACGGGGGAUGAGAUACCUGACGGUGGAAGACAAGUUACAUGUCGGAACUUUACCAAGACAGCUUGGAAAUCAUCAGUCGCAUCUAUGUAAACUGUCUUUGUGAGGGGAGCUUUUUGCCACACUUCCUGCACGAACGAACAGAGGAAGAAGGCGUGCAUUGGUGUUUCCAGCUCUCCACAUCUUGGACAGGCUACAUUGGUUAGUAUCCUCGUCGUUGUAAAUUUUCACCUAGGGAGAUUGCUCUUUUGAUAAUGGACCAUAGAAACACUCUUAGCUUUGGGGGGCAUUUAGAUGACCAAACCUCCUUUAUCCAAUUGAAUUCUCCCAGGUAUGCAGUAGGUGGGACUUGACGAGGGGUAUUUGCUGCGAGAUUAUACCCAGACUUCGUGGAAUAGAUCCCUGAGGGUAGCGGUUGCCAGAUAUAAACGUCUUUAGCGCAUGACGUGCUCGGUUUUAGUGAUUGGAUUUGAUCACUCAGCUCAGGUAACACUUCUUCUAUCCUCUGUUUGUUCCAGCGUAUGUUGCUUGUAAGCAAGUCUGAUACCCUGAGGUUUAGUGCAUUCUCAUUGAUAGGUCCGUAUGGUUUUAGGUUUGAGUCAAGGGAGAUCCAAGAAUCUUUUCAGACGCUUGUGGUCUGACCAUUUCCUAUAGCCAUUCCCAAUAUUGUCUCGUAGGAGAUUUCGACCAUGUAGAAUCCCUCUCCACCCGUGGGAACAAGUAGAGGGUAAAUUCACAUUUAGGAAACUCUCUUUAUGGCAAUAUUUACCCUUUAGGACUCUGGCUAGGAGGCAGUAUGGAACUGUUAUGAUUCUCCAAGCUAGCUUUGCGAGUAGAGCUUGGUUGAAGAGUUGGAUGUCUCGUAGUCCCAGACCUCCCAACACCUUAGGUUUUGCCAAGUUGUCCCAUGAAACCAAACACAUACUUCUUUUCUCACUAGAAGAGUCCCACCAAAAUCGAGUUAAAGCUGAUUGUAUUCUUUUGCAGAGGCUGAGAGGGAGCUCGAAACAAGACAUCAUGUAGGAUGGUAUAGCUGUAAGGACAUAUUGCAGCAUUGUGGAAGCGUGUGGACCAGUUAGCUGCACACUGCCUUAUUCUAUCAACAAUCGAGGUAAAUAAAUCCUUCUUUCUUCUACCAAAAUGUUCAUGUUCUGGCAACCGUAGAUACUUUCCAACCCCUCCCUCUCUAGUGAUCCAUAUGAUGUGUUUUGCUGCUGUCUUUACUUCUUGUGGUGUCUUACUGGAAAAAUUAAUAAAUGAUUUGGCAGUAUUAACUUUUUGGCUUGACAAUGCUUCGUAAUCCAGUAGGAGCUUUGAUAGUGUCAAAUUUUCUAAAUGUAAUCUAAAACAUUGCUCCAUGUCGCUUGACUAAACAAAUGACAACUUAGUACCAGGAAUCAAACCCAAGACUUAUGGGUUUACGUCUUGUCCCAAAUUUUUCUCUUAUCACGAGACUACGUACCACGAGAGGCGGACCUACGUUAGAGGAAGGGGUGUCAUCUGACACGGGUUAAAUCUUAGCUCAUUUGGUCAAUUUCCUUAAUAUCUGACACAACUUUCCCUAGUUCAACCCAGCCCUCAUACAUAUUUUUUGUUUGUUUUCUUUUCUAUAAGAAUUAUGUUGGACUUUGACACCCCUUAAAAUCAAACAUGGGUCCGCCACCACCGCUUGAUUAAAUGUAUACAGACAUAUAAAAAUGUGAACCUUUUAUUUGCAUGUAAAAGCACAAACAGAAAAGCAAGAUUUGAAAUAAUGAAACCUUAUAUAAUCUCCACAUCAUUGUUUUUGACAAAUACCUGAAUAUGAAUAGCACGAGACACACAAGGACCUAGAAACCGUUGUGGUUGUAUAGUAUAUGUUUCAUUGGCAUGAAUUACUAGAGAUGUUGCCUCAUCUUUUCCAUCUGCUCUGCAUAAUGCUUUCCAUGCAUCUCUAAACGCCUGUAAGAAGAUCUUCUUGUUAACGUAGGUUAUUUUAUAUUAGAAAUCAAAAUGAAAAUAGUUAAUGACAAAAAAAAGAUUACUUGAGAAUAAUCAGUGUUUUUAUUGUUAGCAUCCGCUGUAAAAUCCUUGAUGCUUAGAGUCAUCCGACCGUCUCCGUAUUGUAAAUGGCACGACAUAAUUAAAAUAACGGAAAAUAGUAAUUUCAAAUCCUGAGAAUAAAAAUAAAAUAUAGUCAUUACAUUUUAUUUGAACAAAAGAAAAAUGAAACAAUGGCUUAGGACCCAUUUAGUUUCACCAUCCUCUAACAAAAGGCAAAAAAAGUAGUGACAAUAGAACGAAGAAUGAGCAGAUUUUUUUUUUUUGGUAAAAAGAAUGAGCAGAUUUUAGUGGUAGAAUCCCGCAGAAUGAGCAGAUUUUAUCGAGAAAGAGUAUAUUUUCUCACCAUUAUAAUCUUAAUAAGAAAAAAGUUAGAUGCUUUUCAAAGUAUAAGAUAUUAAGUAGGUUGUGAAAUUGUGUGUUGUGCACUAACUAUAUAUAUGCUGUUUUACUUGUCAAAGUCUUGCAAUCUAUUAUUCAACUUUAUAUAUUACUAUAUAUUACUAGAGAAUAGAGAUUGAUCCGCGCAGCCGCCCGGUAUUGAUUUUCACUUUUUAUUUGUUGAUAUUUAUUUUUCAUGUAAACUUUAUAUAUUACUAUAUUAGACAUGUCAUCAUAUAAAUAAUCAUAUAUUGUUACAUCUACAAAACACAUUGUGUAAUGUAAAUGUGAUAAUUUAACUUUGUGUUUAAAAUUGACCUUUGAAUCGUAUAUUUCUUACAACAUAUUGAUUAUAUUUGUUUAAUGAUGGUUUUUUAUUGGACAUAUAUUAGUAAUAAUCCAUUUUUUUAUAUAUAUUUUGAUACCAACAACCUAUUUAAUUUGUACUUACUUUUAAUACUCUUUAUAUCUGUAUAAUAUAAAAUAGGAAAAUUAGCUCCACUAACUACUUCCUAAACUGACGUCAAAAAAAAAAAACUACUUCAAAAACCACAUCCUUAUUCAUAGUAUAAAAUCCUUUAGUAACAAAAAUCAUCGUUGAUACAAAAAUUGCUUUACCAAACAUCUAAUACUUUAAGUUUGGUGUGAAAUUGUUAAAUUUUAAACUUGAUAAUACUCAAAAUUUUCAGUGUUUUAAUAUUUUAAUACAUUGUAUAAUUCGUGGCAUUGUUAUAAAUUACCAACUUAUAAAAUUAGGAAUCAUUCUUUAAAUAAGUUUUUAAAGCUAUAAUAAAAAAAUGACUGUAAAACUUAUAUUUACUAACUUAAUAUUUUAUGUGUUGUAGAAAAAUUAUGCAGCUACAUUUACAGACAAAAUUUUACAUCAAAAAAUUUAAAACUAUAUCUCAAACUAGUAGAGUCAAUAGUUCAACAUUUAGGCUGUAACAUUUAGCAACAAAAAAAAAUCUUUAACCCAACAUUCCAACAAGUGCUUUCCAAACCAAGCUAGAUAGUUUCCUAGACACAUGGUUCUCUGUAUAGAUUCAUAUGGAAUUAGCACGACCCGGCGAUCAAAAAACAUUUCUUUCUUAUAAACAACUGCAAAAGAACCGAAAUCAGAGGCCUCCGUCUGUCAAUCAAAUGGCAUUAGAGUAGGAGGUUUUCCUUUGUUAAAAAUCCAAAAGAGAUAAGAGUUUUACAACCAAUAAUCUCAAACUGAAUCAUCACCAUUAUCAAAAGAGAAGUACCAAUAAAAUAUAUCUUUUAGUUUUCCGAAUUAUUUACACUUUCAUGCCACCGACGUUAUUAAUUAACAUACCUUUUAAUUUUUUUUCUUUUUUUUAAUUAAUGCAUUUCCUAAUCAAAUUCUAACAAAACAAUUAUAGCAACAAUAAUUAAUAAAUCUAGCUUUUAGUAUUCUUUGUCUUUUAGUAUUUUAUUAAAUAUAUAUGUGUGUUUGGAAAUAAUUAAGAAACCUAGCUUUAAAGUUAAUGAACAAUAUUGUUUUAAAAGCUAAUAUAAUUAUAUUUUUAUUAUUUAUUAGAAAUAACUAAAAUAAAAGUCACAUAAAAAAGAUUCAUUUAUAUAACAUAUAGAUGAAUAUAUAAAUAUAUUGUGUUAAGUAUAUUUUGAUAUAAAUAAUAGUCCAAUAUAAAUUCAGUAUGAUAAAUGUUGAAAAGUAUAAAAUAUAUAGUAACAUGUAUUAUAAAUAGUAUAUAGAACAAUUUAUUAUAUAUUAUCAUAAAAUUUUGAUCCAUAGAAAAAAAAUUUUGUGCGGAUAUAAAGUCAUACUGUAAAAAUAUGGAUGACAGAAUCGAUGGUUUAUUAUAAAAUUUUGAUCCACAGAAAAAAAAAUUGUGCGGAUAUAAGGUCAUAUUGUAGAAAUAUGGAUGAUAGAACUGAUGGUUUACAAGAUAAAAUAAAACUACUCAAUACAAACUAUAAAAUUAUUAUGUUUAAAAAUGUCAUAAAAACAAUUGUUUAAACAAGUAAAUAUUUAUUUAUAAGAAAUUAAAAACAAACAUCCGCGCGGGUGCAUGGAUCAAGUUCUAGUUUAUUUUAAAGUCUGAUUAAUUAUGUUAUUAUAAAUUAUGGAAAAUACUAUAUAAACUUUUUUUACAACAGAUAAUUCUAUUUGUCUUAUGAAAUUCAUGUUUGAAUGUAUCAUUCUGAACCAUCCUAUAAAAUUUACUUUUAACGGUACAUCUUGUAUUAUGUUGAAAUCUCAUGUAACUUUUUCCUCUAUAAUAUAUUAUUAGACUUUGAUCCGCGCUACCGCGCUGAUAUAUUUUUCAAAUAUAUGUUUCUAUUUGUUUUUCAUGUCAAUAAUAUAAGGGCUAGGUAAAAUAUCCGAAUCUGAAGAACCGAAUCAAACUCGAUCCGAAAAAGUAGUACCAAACCCAAACCGAAAUUGAUUAAAUAUCUGAAUUAAUCAAAAUUUUGGUUUUUGGAGAACCGAAACCGAAUCCGAUCCGAACCGAAGUAUUCCGGGUACCCGAACGUAACCGAAAUAGAUUUAUAUACUUAUAUAUAUAUUAAUUAUUUUUAGAUUUAAUAUAUAUAUAUAUAUAUAUAACAUCUAAAAUAUAUAUGAUACUUUUAAGUUGGUUUAAAUACUUGAAAAUAUAUACAAAUAAUCAAUAGUAAAUAUAUAAAAUAGUAAAAGUAUACUUAAAACACCAAAAAUACUUAAAAUAAUUAUUGAUUCUCUAUCCAAAUAUUUGAACUAAAGUAAUUUAUAUGUUAAGUUUAGGUAUUCUGACAUAUGUUAUUCAAAUUUAUAUUUAAUAUAUUAUUUUGUUUAUAGUUUUUGAGAAAUUUCAAGUAUAUAAAUAUAUAAUGAAUAUUAAAAUUUUAUACUUAAUUUAAAUGGGUUAUCAGAACUCAAACUGAACCCGCACAAAUUUGAUGCGAACCCAAACUAAAAUUUAGAAAUAUUAGAAUGAAACUGAAAUCUUUGACCUUGGAAACCCGAAACUCAAACAGACCUAAACUGAACACGAUUAGGUACCAGAUAGAUAGUUUCUCAUAAUAUAAUGGACUUCUAAAUUUUCUUAAGAAUAUAAGCCCAUUAUUUUUUUUCUCUUAAUAUACUGUUAUCCAUGUUUCCAAACAGACCUAUUUUUUAAAACUACAAUAUAUGUUUCUAAACAAAUCUCUUUUUUAAAACUGUAAUCCAUGUUUUCAAACAAACAUUUUUUUAAAUUACAAUCUAUGUUUCCAAACAAUUUUACAUGUUUUCAAACAAACUUAAUUUGUACAUGAGUUUUAAUAAGAUAGAUUUGCAUUUUAUGAGAUUUGAAUCUAAAUGUGUGGUGUAAAAAUAUUAAUGGAUAAUUAUUUAAAUUGAUCGAUAAAAGGGACUUCUACAAAAGACAGAAAGGAGUAGUGUUAUUAUUUAUUUUUUUGUCAACGAAGGAGUAGUGUUAUAUAAACAAAUAUUUAGAGUAUAUUAGUUGUCGGUAGAUCUCAGCCAUUAUAAACGCCAAAUAAUAAUUGUUACGUAAUGAUUCUCUCUGUAGAUCUCAGCCAUUAAACGCAGAAAAUUAUUUAUUAUAUUUUUCUGACUCGAAAAUAAAAUAAAUCAAAGCUUUAAUAACAUUAUAUAUGCCUGACAGAUGUGACACAUGUUAAUCUGUAAGACAUCACGUUUAUUGGGAUGAUUGGCAUCACGUUUAAGAAAUGAUUGGCAUCACGUUUAUGGAACGUUAUGGAGUACUGCUUAGGGUCAACGACUCAACGCCCAUAACUUACACACGUGUGACAGAAAAGCAUACUGCUAUUUAGGUUUCUGCGUUGUCAAGUUGCAUAAUGAAGAGUUUGACAGCCAAAUUAUUUACAAAAAUCAAUAAAAAAUAAAAUAUUUUUCAAGUUUUGUAAUUCCUUUUGCUUUUUUUUUUUGUUUAAGUCACCACAACAAAUAAGAGAAUAUACUUUGAAUAUUCUUAUAUUUAGUUUUAAAUUAAAUAUUUGAAACUUAAACGAUCAAAGUUUAAAAAAAUGUUGUUAACAAAAUCCUAAAUUUUUAGCAAAAAAAAAUAACUAAAAAACAAAAUCCUAUAUUUUAUGAUUAUAAAGAAAUCAGUUAAACUAAAUAAUAAAUAGAUUUUAAAAUUGGGGGAUUUUACAGAUUCAAAACUUGAUUUUGAAUACAAAAGUGUACCCAAAAUUUAAUCAAAUGCAAAAGUAACCCAAAAACGUAUUGAAAUUACGACAGUCCCCUUAUGAACAAACAAAAAACAUAUAUUCAGUUUACCAUUAUAACCCUCCGUUAGAGAAGAAGUCUUCUCUAUGAUGACUUAUUUGUAAGUCUUCUCGUUCAGUAGAUCUUAAAAAUAAGUUUAUAAUUUUAUAAAAAUUAUUUUGAUGCAUAAAAAAUUGAAAUCAUGUAAUAAUAAAUAUUUUUCAAUGAUGUAAAUUUAGUUCAUCUGAAAUUGAUAUGAGUGAAUGUAUAUUGGUUCAUGAUGCAUUGGUUUAGGGUUUGGUAACAUAUUUUAUAGUAUUGUAUGUAUAUUUAAGGUUAGAUUCUGAAAUCUUACCUUCAUUUUUUUUUUAAAUUUACAUAUAUAUGUUUAAUAAGUAUCUAAUAACUUGAUUUAAACAUUUUCUAAGUUUCUUUUAAGUUUAAAAAAGUGUUUUUGCAUAGUUAAUUAAUUUUAGGGUCUGGAAGACUCACAAAAUACUUAAAAAGAAGUUUUCCGACACAUUCUGCCUAAAUUUUAGUAGAAUUUUGGGUUCCCGCCUAAAUUUUAGAAAACUUUAGGUUUCCCGCCUAAAUCAAAAUCUUCCAUAAGUCAUCUAGGAGUCUUCCAGAGAAAGUCUUCUUAUAGAUUAGAUCUUAAAAAUAAUAAAUAAAUUUUAUAAAAAAUAUUUUCAAAGGGAAAAAGUCAAAAUCAUGUAUUAAUAAACAUUUCUAAAAGAUGGAAAUUUAGUUUUACUGAAAUUGAAUUAUUUUUAACAUAGAUGAGUGAAUCUAGAUUGAGUCAUGAUAUCAUUUGGUUUAGGGUAACGUAUCAUAUGUUGUAGUAUUGUUUCUAUUUUUAGGGUGAGAUUUUAAAAUCUCAUCUUAUUUUUUUUUAUAAAUUGACCUAUAUGAGAUUAGUAACUAUCUAAUAACUUGAUUUAAACACUUUCUAAAUAUCUUAAAAGUUUAAGAAAGUGUUUUUUGCUUAGUUAUUUGAUUAUAGGGUCUGGAAGACUCACAAAAGCUGACAUAUCCUGCCAACAUUUUAGUAGAAUUUAGGGUUCCCGCCUAAAUCGAAGUCUUCCAGAAGACUUUCCGAAGUCCGAAGUCUUCUAGGGAAAGUAUUCUCAUGUAUUAGAUCUUAAAAAUAAUUAAUCAAUUUAAUAAAAAAUAUUUUGAAAGAGAAAAAAUAGAAAUCAUGUAUUAAUAAACAUUUCAAAACGAUAAAAAUUUAGUUUUACUAAAUUUGAAUUAUUUUUAACAUAGAUGAGUGAAUGUAGAAUUAGUCAUAAUAGCAUUUAGUUUAGGGUUUGUUAACAUAUGUUAUAGUAUUGUUGGUAUUUUUAGGAUUAGAUUUUGGAAUCUUAACUUUAAAAAACUUGUUUUGACCUCCAUAUGUUUAGUUUUGUGUAUACUAAACACUUUAUAAGUUGAUUAUAAGUUUAAUGAAUUAUUAUUUGCUAUUUAAUUAGUUAUUUGAUUAGGUUAUGGUUUGGAAGACUUCCGGAAGACUUCACAAGAAGACUUCCCAAGAAGUCUUCUGACAUAUUCCCAUCUAAAUUUAGUAUAAUAUAGUAUAUUCCCAAGCAUUUUCGAACAUGGCCCUUGUCUUAAUUUUUGUAGUCUUAGACCAGUAAGUGGAAUGAAGGAAAUCAGUUAGAAAGUGAAUUCAGAAACCACAAAUGGAUAGAAAAUAUAAUUUGUGUACUCUGAAUUUAUGUCUGAGUUCCGUAUUUGUUUGUUACUGAGAAAUUAAUCGAUGAUCAUAAAAAGCGCUUUUAAAGAGAACCUGAUAACUGCUUCUGCUAGAGGAAGUUAUAAAUUACAAUGUAGUUAGUGUUUUAAUAUAAUUAUAUGCAGUUAUAUAAAAAUCAGUUUUUUAAAAAAAAUUGGACUCAAUUAAUAUCAAUGGGGCAUGUUCUUGUUUUAAUAGUAUUGAUUCUAAAAAGCUAUAGAUUCAACCUAUCGUGACUGUUUUGUUUAUUAUUUAAGGAUAAAAUUAUAUUUUUGAAGUUUUUAUCUGUUUUGAGGCCAUUUGAAUGUAUUUAUAUUGGCAGGUUUUCCAGAUCUGAGACUGACUUUGAAAGACUUAUCAGAAGACUCACGGAAGACUUCUAGACAAGUCUUCUAAUGCAUUUUAUGCUAGAAGAUUUCCCACAAAGUCUUCAGGAACUCUUCUGCCCAAAAUGGUACAAAUUUUGGAUAUGUAUUUUUUGUGUUUUAUACAUUGGAUUAUAGAAAGUUAUAAAUUCAAUCUAAUGUGACAAUUUUUUGUUUAUUAUUAAGCAUAAAAAUGUGUUUUUGAAGUUUUCUCUUUUUGAAGCUAUUUGAAUGCUUUUGAAUAUAUAAAAUUUUCAGAUCUAAAUCAGAUUUUGGAAGACUUCUCAAAAGACUCUUGGAAGACUCUCGGAAAACUUUUUGGGAAGUCUUCUAAUGCAUUUUAUGCUAGAAGACGUCCCACGAAGUCUUCAGGAAGUCUUCCAAUGUUUGAAUAUGCAGAUUUUUCAGAUAUGAGUUAGUCUUUGGAAGAUUUCUCAGAAGACUCUUGGAAGACUCUCAGAAACUCUCGGAAGACUCUUGGAAGACUCAGAAAUUCUCGGAAGACUCUUGGCAGACUUUUUCGGAAGACUCUUGGCAGACUCUCGGAAGACUCUUGGAAGUCUUCUAAUGUAUUUGAUAUCACUCAAAUUAUUCCAAAGAGUGAAUUACUCUCUCAAAUAAGAGGUUCGGAUGUAGUACUUAGGGAUCAAAUCCACAAAGACUCUAGGAUUACACAGUAGAUUAUGGUCUUGAAAUAAAUCUAGAUUAAUUGGUUUAUAAGUUUUAAAACAGUAAAUGGAUUGGUGAGCAAGUUUAUUGCUUGAUUGAUUUGUUUUGAGGUUGUUAACAGUUUAGAAAAAUAGCUAGAUUCAGGUAUGUUAAGUAAUACUUAAAGUGGUUUUUAGGGGUUUAUUGAUGUUAAUUAUUCUUGAAUUCAAACUAAGAUAUAAUCAAUCUGAUUAUCUAAUAUGGAUCUUGUAUUUCAACUCUCGUAUGUUAAUCACGAGAAAGUGUCGAUCGAUAAUUCUUUACGAAUAUCGAUCGAUACACCUUUCAAAAAUCGAUCGAUACACCUUUCAAAAAUCGAUCGACAGGGCUAUCGCUGCAUCGAUUGAUACUUCUUCCAGAAAGCUUUACGUAUGGGUUUGAUUUAUAUUCUCUAACCCACAAGACCAACUCUCGUCUGUAUCUAGUUCGUUAGAUCAUACUAGUUAAUUUCAGGUAUUUAGUCAAACAAUGGCUUGAUCUCAAUUAAUCCUAAGAUCUUUGUUUAAAGGGUGAUCAAUCCUAAACUUAGCUUAGCACAACUAGAUGAAGAACUACGACUGAAGGGUGAUCAAUCCUAAACUCUGCUAUUUACUAUUUAAGAUCUUUGUUUAAAGGGUGAUCAAUCCUAAACUCUGCUAUUUACUAUUUAAUUGUUUGUCUAGCUUAGUCAUAAUCUGGUUAAGAUCUAUUGUGUGUCUUAGAUCCUUGUGGAUUUAAUUCAUAAGUACUACGACUGAACCUCUUAUUUGAGAGAGUAAAGAUCUUUGAUCACCCUUUAAGAUCUUUGUUUAAAGGGUGAUCAAUCCUAAACUCUGCUAUUUACUAUUUAAUUGUUUGUCUAGCUUAGUCAUAAUCUGAUUAAGAUCUAUUGUGUGUCUUAGCUCCUUGUGGAUUUGAUCCAUAAGUACUACGACUGAACCUCUUAUUUGAGAGAGUAAAGUCGUUACUUGGGAUAAUUUGAGUGAUAUCAGUAUGCAGAUUGGGUGUUUACUAUAGAUAAAAGUCAAGGAAAGUAAAGCUCCCAUGAUUUUUCCCAAGUAUUUUUCAAGGUUGGUCUCUUAUAUCUAACUACGGAGCACACCGGUUGGGAGCACAUCUGGGUGGUUUGGAGGGGAUGAUGUAAAGAUCACACCAGUGUUUCAGAGUGAUCAAGUGAUCACUGUUUCAAUACUCUUAAAUGGCAACAUUGACGAGUUUUUUUGUUCGUUUGUUUACGCUUCUAAUGGUGUAGAGGAGCGAAAACAGUUAUGGGAUGAUCUCCAACAUCACCAUAACUCAAGUAUGUUUCAGAAUAAGUUAUGGAUGGUAUGUGGUGAUUUCAAUGAGACCUUGCAGGGUCAAGAACACUCGAACUAUAUUGAUGACCAGCACACAACAAUGGAAAUGAUGGAUUUCCAAAAUGUUGUUCGAGAUUGUUCAUUGGUGGAUCUGAAAUACCAUGGGCCACCGUAUACAUGGUGCAAUAAGCGAUAUAUGGGGCUCAUUUGCAAGAUACUUGAUAUAUUUCUUGUGGAGAGGUAUCCCAACUCAUACUGUGUUUUUGAAUCAGGUGGUUGCUUUGAUCACUUGAGAAGAAGAACCACGGUGGAAGUAGAGGAGGUAAGAAAAUUCAGGCCCUUCAAAUUUGCAAAUGUUCUAACUCAACUCAAACACUUUCCAUAGGUGAUUUAGAGUCAUUGGGAUGGAAAUGCACCUCUGUACAUCUCAAUUUCCGCUAUGUUUCGGUUCUCAAAUAUACUGAAGGAACUGAAACCGAAGUUAUGCCAAUUGGGGAAGGAGGUUUUGGGUGCUCUUCCCAAACGCACAAAAGAGCGUACACUAACUGAUCCUCAACUAGAGUUGGUUCGGGAAGAAACAUAAGCCUAUGAGAAAUGGAAGUUGCUUUCAGCUAUGGAGGAACAAUUCCUUAAACAGAGAUCAAAGUUGCAUUGGAUGAUUGUAGGUGAUCAAAACAAGUCGUACUUUUUUAUAAAAUGGCGCUGAUUCGUAGGAUGCGUAAUAUGAUCAGAGAAAUGAUCGACCAUAAUGGGGUACUACUGAAAACAGGGGAAGAGAUCAAAGCUGAGGAGGAGAGAUUUUUUCAAGAGGUUUUGACUAAUGAACCAACUGACUAUCAGGGUAUGCCAGUGGGAAAACUGGAAGGUCUUUUUCAGUUUCGAUGUGGGUCAGAGGACAUUGCUCAUCUUGAGCAGGAGGUGACGAAAGAAGAAAUUCAAGAAAACAUUAUUUGCUAUGCCAAAUGAUAUAAAUCUCUCGGGUCUGAUGAAUUCACAAGUGAGUUUUUUAAGGCUUCCUGGGAAAUUUUCGGAAAUGACUUCACAGUGGCAAUCCAGUCUUUUUUUUUAUCAAAGGCUUUCUUCCAAAAAGAGUAAACUCAACAAUACUAGCUCUGAUUCUUAAGACAACAGAGGUGCGAUUCAUGAAAGAUUACAGGCCGAUCUCCUAGUGUAAUGUUAUGUAUAAGGUUAUCUCAAAAAUCCUAGCAAACUGACUGAAGAAAUUCUUCCAAAUUAAGUUCAUUACUCAAAACCAGUCUCCUUUUGUCAAAGAGAGAUUGUUGACGGAGAAUGUGUUACUUGCAACAUAGAUAGUGCAAGACUAUUAUAAAGAGGAUUAGGGCCGGUUCAAUGGUGUCAUGGGCCCUGGGCAAAAAAAGUUCUAAUUUUCAAUCUAAUAAUUUAAAAAAAAAAAUCUGAUAGAUAUUUGUUUUUUCUUAAAAUACCAGAAGUAUUUUUAAAAGUAAAAUUAUGAUAAAAUAAAAAAAUACUUUCAUAAAAAAAAGUUGGGCCCUUUUUAUUUUUAAUAUAAAAAUACAUGUAUUUUUUUUUAAAAAAGAACUCUUAUCUAUUAAGAAAUAGGUGGACAACAGAUUGGAUCCGCAGCGGUCGCACCGCUUGUCCCUCUAUCUAAGCCGGCUCUGAAGAGGAUAUUUCACCAAGAUGUUGCAAUGAAAAUUAUUUCAAAAGAUUUUGAUUCGGUGCAAUGGGAUUUUGUUUUAAACACUCCUCUGCUUUAGGUUUCCCGCCUAAGUACAUACACUGAAUCAGCUUUGCAUCACGAGAGCCUCUUUUUCAGUCCAAGUUAAUGGAGAGCUUGUAGGUUAUUUUCAGAGCAAAAGAGAGUAACGCCAAGGCUGUGCUCUAUCACCAUAUCUCUUUGUUAUGUGUAUGAAUGUUCUAUCUCAUUUGAUAGACAAAGAGGCAACUGAAAGAUGGAUUGGGUUUCAUCCCAAGUGCAAGAACAUUAGCUUAUGAUCUUAUGGUUUUUGUCGAUGGGCAGAGAAGGUCAGUUGAAGGUAUCAUUAAGGUGUUUGAUGAGUUUGCAGUAGCUUCAGGAUUAAAAAUCAGCAUCGAAAAAUUAACAAUAUACCUGGCGGGUUGUAUGGAUCAAAACCGAGAGGAUAUUCUUGCGACAUUUCCUUUCCAACUUGGUACCUUGUCCGUGAAGUACUUAGGUCUGCCUAUUCUCACCAGAAGAAUGACAAGAUCAGAUUAUGAGCCUCUUGUAGAAAAAUCAGACGAAAAAUGAGAGCAUGGACUGGUCGUUACCUAUCAUUGGUGGGCAGAUUACAGUUCUUAAGUUGGGUGAUCAUGAGCAUUGUCAACUUCUGGAUCGCAGCAUACCGCUUGCCUCAGAGUUGGAUAAAAGAAAUAGAGAAGCUAUGUGCAGCUUUCUUGUGGCCACACCCUGAUCUAAACCUCAGGAAAGCGAAGGUAGCAUAGUUGGAGAGGACUGAUAUCUCUUCAGGAAGCAAACAUAGUUAGCUGCCUAAAACUUAUAUUAUCUCUGGAAAAAGCACACUACGGACGCAGUGGAUCAAAGCGUUGGUUCUGGGUGAGAAAGCAAUCUGGACAGUAAAGGAUCAAUCAAAUAAGGGUUCCUGGAUGUGGAAGAAGCUUCUCUAGAGAUAUAAAGGAGAUAAGUUUAAAUCUACCUUCACCACUAAGGCGACUUAUGAUCUGAUCAGGGACAAAGAUGUUUGGUUUUCUAAAAGUAUGCUUUUCUUACUUGGCUAGCAAUGAAAAAUAUAGACUAUCUACAGGGGAUCGUAUUGACAAAAUACGGAUUGUGUGUUAUGUGGAUCAUCUCGUGAAACCCGCAAUCACCUUUUCUUUUAGUGAAGAAUAUUUGGACAUCUAUCAUGUCAACUUUUCUGGAUCAAAAGUUCAUUAGCGGAUUGGGAUAUGGUCCACUUCUUCACGCCUUUCAGAACCAAAGCAUCAAAAAGAAAAAAAGUAAACAUCGUAACAUAUAAAACAACAUUGCCAUCAUCAAGCAUAGAAAUAUUCGAAAGCAUCAAAUCUUUACAACCAAACCCAUAUGCUUUUUUCACUCUUCGACUCAUUUCUUCUCCCAAAAUUUUUGUCGAACAUACUUUAUAUAAAUAUAUCGCUUCCCCUUAAUUAAUGCAAGAUGAGUCUUGAGAUAUAGUAAAUCUUAAUGCUCAACAGAAACCACUUCAGAUACCUUAAUGGACUCGGCUCUGUCUUCAUCCAUCCUUGGAGAUACAAUCUCAUGAGAUGAUACAGUCACUUGUGCUUCCUCUUCUAUGAGAUGUGAAGACAGUUUUGAAGUUUCUGCAUCUUUUUCAGGUUUCACCUUUGCUGAUGUUG